rnacentral:rRNA from 1 species
UACGCAGGGGGCUAGCGUUGCUCGGAAUCACUGGGCGUAACGGGUGCGUAGGUGGGUAGGUAAGUCAGUGGUGAAAUCUUCAAGCUUAACUUGGAAACUGCCAUUGAUACUAUUUAUCUUGAAUACUUUGGAGGUAAGCGGAAUAUGUCAUGUAGCGGUGAAAUGCUUAGAUAUGACAUAGAACACCAAUUGCGAAGGCAGCUUACUACACAGUAAUUGACACUGAGGCACGAAAGCGUGGGGAUCAAACAGG